UUGGUUUGUUUCCGGUGGCUGGCUCUCUGCUCGUGCAACAACUUCCACCUCGCAUACCUCUUCAGUUACAGGUCAAGGCUAUAUCGCCUUGAACACGUUAUGGGUUUUCUGUAUUGCCUACCUACAUUGAUGGUAUUGUUUGGACACAUCAAAGUCCCAUUUCGUCUUAUGUCACACUUGUGGUGUGGGAUGAACCUUAAGCAGUCUCCUUGUUCCACCUCGUUGACGCACAUGUGUUGAUGUUGUGGCCCAUCGAGCAUUGCUCGGUCUUGUGGAUACAGAACAUGACGUGGGCAUGGGAUCUUGAAUGAUCCUUGUUUUGCCCAGUUGAGCGUUAUUGUUUUUCUAUGAUGACGUCCUAGCCUGAAUUGGCUUGUUCAAUCGGGCGGGAUAUGUUGUUGUAUAAUGAUGGUAGCGCUCUUGCUUCUCCAAAACGACUGGCUAGCCGCAUUGGCUUAUGCUAGCGGGUCAGCCACGUCGAAGAAGGAUGCUACCUGGUUGAUCCUGC
rnacentral:misc_RNA from 1 species